rnacentral:rRNA from 1 species
AGAGUUUGAUCCUGGUUCAGGACGAACGCUGGCGGCGUGCCUAACACAUGCAAGUCGAGCGGAGACGGUGUUUGACACUGAGUUUUUUCGGAAGUAGCGUAAGAGAAGUUGCAAACCGGUCGGGAGUCUUGACUUCGAGGGAUGCAUUGCAACCUUAAAAGAGGGAAGCGAUGGGUUCUGAGGGAAAAGGGAGCGACGGGAGGCAACGAAGUGAAAAGAGAAGAUUGAGUGUCAAGCACUAUCUUAGCGGCGGACGGGUGAGUAACGCGUGAGCAACCUGCCUUACACAGGGGAAUAGCCUCGGGAAACUGGGAUUAAUGCCCCAUGACGUAUUCAUGUCGCAUGGUGUGGAUACCAAAGUGAAAGCGGUGUAAGAUGGACUCGCGUCUGAUUAGCUGGUUGGUGGGGUAACGGCCUACCAAGGCGACGAUCAGUAGCCGGCCUGAGAGGGUGAACGGCCACACUGGAACUGAGACACGGUCCAGACUCCUACGGGAGGCAGCAGUGGGGAAUAUUGCACAAUGGGGGGAACCCUGAUGCAGCGACGCCGCGUGAGCGAAGAAGGUUUUCGGAUCGUAAAGCUCUGUCCUUGGAGAAGAUGAUGACGGUAUCCAAGGAGGAAGCCCCGGCUAACUACGUGCCAGCAGCCGCGGUAAUACGUAGGGGGCGAGCGUUGUCCGGAAUUACUGGGCGUAAAGGGUACGCAGGCGGUUACAUAAGUCAGGUGUAAAAGGCAUUGGCUCAACCAAUGUAAGCAUUUGAAACUGUGGGACUUGAGUAUAGGAGAGGUAAGUGGAAUUCCUAGUGUAGCGGUGAAAUGCGUAGAUAUUAGGAGGAACACCAGUGGCGAAGGCGACUUACUGGACUAUAACUGACGCUGAGGUACGAAAGCGUGGGGAGCAAACAGGAUUAGAUACCCUGGUAGUCCACGCUGUAAACGAUGAGUGCUAGGUGUCGGCAAGAGAUUGUCGGUGCCGGAGUUAACGCAAUAAGCACUCCGCCUGGGGAGUACGGUCGCAAGACUGAAACUCAAAGGAAUUGACGGGGACCCGCACAAGCAGCGGAGCAUGUGGUUUAAUUCGAAGCAACGCGAAGAACCUUACCAAGGCUUGACAUCCCCUUGAAAGGCGUAGAGAUACGUUCCCUUUUCGGAGCAGGGGAGACAGGUGGUGCAUGGUUGUCGUCAGCUCGUGUCGUGAGAUGUUGGGUUAAGUCCCGCAACGAGCGCAACCCCUAUUAUUAGUUGCCAGCACUACGGGUGGGCACUCUAAUGAGACUGCCGGUGACAAACCGGAGGAAGGUGGGGGUGACGUCAAAUCAUCAUGCCCCUUAUGUCUUGGGCUACACACGUGCUACAAUGGUCGGUACAACGGGGUGCGAAGGAGCGAUCCGGAGCGAAUCCCAAGAAGCCGAUCUCAGUUCGGAUUGCAGGCUGCAACUCGCCUGCAUGAAGUUGGAGUUGCUAGUAAUCGCGAAUCAGAACGUCGCGGUGAAUGCGUUCCCGGGUCUUGUACACACCGCCCGUCACACCAUGGAAGUUGGUAAUACCCGAAGCCGCCGAGCUAACCUUAGGGGGCAGGCG